AAAUAGAAUUUCAUCAGCAGCUAUGUGCUAAGCACCUCCUACAUGCAAGAGACAUCUAUGGGGUGACAUGCAAAGAUGUGCAAGUUAAAUUGGUUCUAUCCUCAGUGAAUUUUAAGGAUAGUUCUGUUGUCAGUGGGCUGGUUCAGAUUCUUGACUUUGCCACACAAAAGAAUUUGAAAGGGAGUUCAACGUGAAUGUAGGUAAAGAAGCAUAUCCUUUUCUUUGGAUAUAUAUCCAGGAGUGAGAUUGCUGGAUCAUAUAUAAAUAUGAUAAAUAUGUGCAAAGACUCUCAGAUAUCUAACAAGGUGACUUACUCACAGAUCCUCUCAAUCAAACAAAAGGACUUUUAAGAAGGUUAAGGCAUUGUCUCUGAGCAGAAGC
rnacentral:lncRNA from 1 species